CCUUCGAUAGCUCAGUUGGUAGAGCGGAGGACUGUAGAAUAAACGAGGCUGAAAUCCUUAGGUCGCUGGUUCGAAUCCGGCUCGAAGGA